AUUAGAUACCCUGGUAGUCCACGCAGUAAACGAUGAAUGUCAGCUGUCCGGGACUUCGGUCCUGGGUGGCACAGCGAAAGCGUUAAACAUUCCACCUGGGGAGUACGCCGGCAACGGUGAAACUCAAAGGAAUUGACGGGGGCCCGCACAAGCGGAGGAACAUGUGGUUUAAUUCGAUGAUACGCGAGGAACCUUACCCGGGCUCAAACGUGACUGGAAUGUCCGCGAAAGCGGGCAGCCCUUCGGGGCCGGUUACGAGGUGCUGCAUGGUUGUCGUCAGCUCGUGCCGUGAGGUGUCGGCUUAAGUGCCAUAACGAGCGCAACCCCUACCGACAGUUGCUAACAAGCGAAGUUGAGGACUCUGUCGGGACUGCCGGCGCAAGCUGCGAGGAAGGCGGGGAUGACGUCAAAUCAGCACGGCCCUUACGUCCGGGGCGACACACGUGUUACAAUGGCGGGUACAGCGGGAGGCCAUGCGGCGACGCAGAGCGGAACCCGAAAACCCGUCUCAGUUCGGAUUGGAGUCUGCAACCCGACUCCAUGAAGCUGGAUUCGCUAGUAAUCGCGCAUCAGCCACGGCGCGGUGAAUACGUUCCCGGGCCUUGUACACACCGCCCGACAAGCCAUGGGAGCCGGGGGUGCCUGAAGUGCGUGACCGCAAGAAGGGCCCUAAGGUAAAACCGGUGACUGGGGCUAAGUCGUAACAAGGUAAC
rnacentral:rRNA from 1 species